rnacentral:rRNA from 1 species
UACAGAGGGGGCAAGCGUUGUUCGGAAUUACUGGGCGUAAAGGGCGCGUAGGCGGCCUUCUAAGUCGAACGUGAAAUCCCCGGGCUCAACCCGGGAACUGCGUCCGAUACUGGAAGGCUUGAAUCCGGGAGAGGGAUGCGGAAUUCCAGGUGUAGCGGUGAAAUGCGUAGAUAUCUGGAGGAACACCGGUGGCGAAAGCGGCGCGCUGGACCACUACUGACGCUGAGGAACGAAAGCUAGGGGAGCAAACAGG